ensembl:miRNA
UAUAGGCCGGGGCUUUGGGUGAGGGACCCCCGGGGUCUGUCACAGUCUCACCCCAACUCUGCCCCAG